rnacentral:pre_miRNA from 1 species
GGAUGCGUCCAUUGUGAACCAGGCUUUAGUCUCUACAGUAACAAAUCAGUUCUUACUGUAGUGACUAAAGCCUGGUUCAAAAUGGACGCAUCCAAC